rnacentral:misc_RNA from 1 species
UUUUUUUAAGAGCCAGAUGAUCAGAUAAUUGUAGUCUGAUUUUUUCAGUCGACAUUAUAUUUCCGACAAAGUUUAUCGUCAUAUCAUUGGCUCUCUUUCAAAAAUCUCAACAAGUCAAAGAAAGAUAAGUUUUAAUUAAAAAUAUAUAUACACAGUGUAUAUAUACAAAAAUGGAAUUAGGAGAAAGAGUUGAGGGCUCAGAAGGAUCCAUUGGUGAUUUUCUAAUCACAAGGGAAUCGAUUCCCUCAUAAAAUAGGUAGUUCUCAACAUCACUGCCUUUAUUUCUCAUUCCCCAUAUCCAAAAAUAAAAAAACCCUAAUUUUCAGAGACGAAGAGGAGAGGAGAGAAGAGUCGAGACCGAGAUGAAACUGAUCCAGUGAUGUGAGGAGCUUG